GAUGAACGCUGGCGGCGUGCUUAACACAUGCAAGUCGAACGGGAAACCUUUUAUUGAAGCUUCGGCAGAUUUAGCUGGUUUCUAGUGGCGGACGGGUGAGUAACGCGUGGGUAACCUGCCUUAUACAGGGGGAUAACAACCAGAAAUGGUUGCUAAUACCGCAUAAGCGCACAGGACCGCAUGGUCCGGUGUGAAAAACUCCGGUGGUAUAAGAUGGACCCGCGUUGGAUUAGCUAGUUGGCAGGGUAACGGCCUACCAAGGCGACGAUCCAUAGCCGGCCUGAGAGGGUGAACGGCCACAGUGGGACUGAGACACGGCCCAGACUCCUACGGGAGGCAGCAGUGGGGAAUAUUGCACAAUGGGGGAAACCCUGAUGCAGCGACGCCGCGUGAAGGAAGAAGUUUCUCGGUAUGUAAACUUCUAUCAGCAGGGAAGAUAGUGACGGUACCUGACUAAGAAGCCCCGGCUAACUACGUG
rnacentral:rRNA from 1 species